CUUCAUGCAAGUUAUCUUACAUCUACUUAACGUUUGUUGGAGUGUAUACACGAGAGGUAUCUGAUUAUUUACUCAUUAUUAUUAUUGUGUGAAACGUAGCAAGAAAGUCUAGAGCAUUGUUUUACAGGGACGCGGCAUCCAGGAGUUGGAUAUCAACACCGUGCUGUCACAGUCAGUGAUGCCGACCCUUCCCGCCGUGGACUUGCAGACGGUGCCUGUGAUCAGCUUUUCUGGACAAAUUUCAAUGUGACUGUUAAAGGACAAACAUUGCCGCAAGUGGCCUACACAGAGAGACCAGCUGGAGUGAAUUACACACGUUACAUCCAAGGUAACGAGACCCACAAAUGCAUUAACGACGACUGCUCUCCAGGAGGAAACUGGAUGGGAGCUUUGGACAUCACCGCUGUGUGCCUGGAUGGGAGAGCCAUUUCAAGGCGUAAGGGCUCUACUACCAACAUGGCUGCACCAUCGGACGGGACCUACUUCAUUCAGAACGGAUCAUGGCUUUGUGGUCACAAGAGUUGUCCGAUGCUGCCUGCCAACUGAACACGAGUGUGUGCACGAGUGUGGGUGACCGACCACACCUACAGGGUUCAAUAUCAUCAGCUGAC